GACGAACGCUGGCGGCGUGCUUAACACAUGCAAGUCGAACGGUAAGGCCCUUCGGGGUACACGAGUGGCGAACGGGUGAGUAACGCGUGAGUAACCUGCCCUUCACUCUGGGAUAACAGUUGGAAACGGCUGCUAAUACCGGAUAUUCAGCUCCUGUCGCAUGGGUGGGGGUUGGAAAGUUUUGGUGGUGGAGGAUGGGGCUCGCGUCCUAUCAGCUUGUUGGUGGGGUGAUGGCCUACCAAGGCGUCGACGGGUAGCCGGCCUGAGAGGGUGACCGGCCAC
rnacentral:rRNA from 1 species